rnacentral:rRNA from 1 species
UACGAAGGGUGCAAACGUUGCUCGGAAUUAUUGGGCGUAAAGCGCACGUAGGCGGUUCGUUAUGCCAGAUGUGAAAGCCCUUGGCUCAACUGAGGAAGUGCAUCUGAAACUGGCGAGCUAGAGUAUGUAAGAGGGUCGCGGAAUUCCCGGUGUAGAGGUGAAAUUCGUAGAUAUCGGGAGGAACACCGGUGGCGAAGGCGGCGACCUGGGACAAUACUGACGCUGAGGUGCGAAAGCGUGGGGAGCAAACAGG